AUUGAACGCUGGCGGCAGGCCUAACACAUGCAAGUCGAACGAGUGGCGGACGGGUGAGUAAUGUCUGGGAAACUGCCCGAUGGAGGGGGAUAACUACUGGAAACGGUAGCUAAUACCGCAUACCAUCGGAUGUGCCCAGAUGGGAUUAGCUAGUAGGUGGGGUAAAGGCUCACCUAGGCGACGAUCCCUAGCUGGUCUGAGAGGAUGACCAGCCACACUGGAACUGAGACACGGUCCAGACUCCUACGGGAGGCAGCAGUGGGGAAUAUUGCACAAUGGGCGAAAGCCUGAUGCAGCCAGGCCGCGUGUGCGAAGAAGGCCUUCGGGUUGUAAAGCACUUUUAGCAGGAAGGCGUUACCCGCAGAAGAAGCACCGGCUAACUCCGUGCCAGCAGCCGCGGUAAUAC
rnacentral:rRNA from 1 species